rnacentral:tRNA from 1 species
AAGGAGUUAGUUUAAAAAAAAAUGUGAGUUUGUCAUUCUCUUGAUGCUAAGUUUUGAGUACUUUUUG